UGGCGCCGCUACUGGUUCUCCUCGGCCGCCGGGUCGCGGCAUGUGCACUCGUCCUGGUCGCAGUCAGCAGCGAAUGGGAUCACCUGGGGGAACAAUGGGACGGCUCAGCCCCUGCCCUGGGACACCCUUGUGCCCCCCCAGGUUCUCCACCCUGCCACGAAAGCCCCCUUCAUCCACGUGUGAACCUGUGGACCUAUCAAGUACUCCUGACUCUUCCAGAAAAACAUGAAGAUAACACAGCCUUGUCUUCUGCAGCUCUUAGAGGAACUCAACCAAGCUCUCAACUGCAAAGCUGACCUCCACACUGCCCAACAUAAAAGCUAAGGAAUGCAGGUUUUGCUCUGGUUGAGCACACCUGAAGACCCAGCACCUUGCUUUUGGCCAUGCCCCAUUCCAGAUGCUUUGGAGGAAGGUGGAAAAAAGAAAAAAAAAAAAAAAUCAGCAUUCACAUGGCCAACUGUGUAACUGAGGAGCUGAAAGACUCCCCCGAUCUGCCACUGAGAUGGAAAGUGCUUGUCAUUUCUAUCUGUACACAGCCAUUUGAAAGCUGGAUUCCAGACUCAGGGAGACAAGUCCAGCCUUAAGAAGCAAAAUGCUUUCUCCCAGACUGGUCCUGGGCUUUGUGACUCUGCUGAUCCAUCCAAGGAGGGUGCAUAGUUUGCUUUCAUGGAGCUUCUAAGUCAGCAUGAAUUUUGCUGUCCUUUCAUUUUUCCCUUUGGGAAUUGGUAUUCUGGGCAUCAAGCUCAGACAAUUUGCAUGCUAAUUCAACCACGUGGCUGAGAAGACCCAUGUGCUUUUGCCCUCCUGAGAUGUCACUUUGAAAGCAGCCCUAGAGAAACAGGGGUACCACCAUUUGGGCAGGGCCCAGCCCUGGAAAAGCUGCUGCUGCCCUCAGACUCAUGCCUUGUGCAUCAGCUUCACCACUGGUACUUCUGCUCCCGGGACAGAUGAGUCACUUAGUGGUGGGAAGAUGAGUUGAAAACCCAAUCCCUUUAGUGGCAGGGGGAUGUCAGCCCAAACCAGGCUUCACAGAACCAUGGGACAUGAACCUGAGUUGCCCCAGGGCUGGAGAGUGCUACAGCUGCAGGGGUCUUAGGCAUGCAAAAGAAGCUGUGUCCCAGGUGAAGGUGCUGCCCGUGGCAGGGAAGAACAGGCAGGAUGUGUGGGGAAAGGAAAGUAUGGGCAGGCUGCAGUAGCCCUUGGAGAGCCACAGGGCAGCUUCUCCCUGCCAGAUGUCUCCCCUUCCUCCCCACCUCAGUCACUAGCAAGAUCUUUCCAAAAGCUCUGGGAGGUCCCUGUGAGGACUUGAAGAGUGCCCAAAGCCUUGUUAAACAUCUGGUUCACUUAAAGCCCCAAUACAUCCACCACCCCAGCUUGGGUCCCUGAAAACUCCCCCUCCCAUCCCUGUCCCAAUCUCUCCAAUGUCCUUCCAAACCACUGUUCCCCUGCAGAAAACUGUCAGUCCUUAAAGCCAGAGGUGUGACAGGAGCUGGCUAAAGUGAUGCUACAGAACUGUGUCCCCAGGACGCAUCCCUCUCCUUACAUACAUUUGUGCUGGUGAGGCAGAGAGCCCGGUCAUUCUUGGCUCUCCCUGCUUGCCCAGGGAAGUUGACUGGGAAUGCAGACUGUGGGAGGAAAUGACAAUGUUCAUUGUUUGGAUUAAA